GUUAGUUUUAUGGAGAAGUCAGGAAGCCCAACUCUCACUAGCUCAGUGUGUAAUAGACGCUAUCUACCUCUCCGCUCACACAUCUCCGCAAUUAUUGUGUGGCAAAACACAGCGAUAAGCUUCGUUCAGCAACACUAGGUAUAGGGACGUUGAUCAACGGUUUGGGCUCUUCUACAGAGACAAAGCUACGGAGCAGAGGGAAGGACGGCUCAAACGGACGAAUCCCACCACGACACACACGAUACACGAAUGGCGUCUCAGUCGAAAUUGAAUAUGGCAACCACCAACGCUUGUGAAAAACCGAACAUUGCUGCCGCAGCUUGAGACUCCCUUGGCAGACUUGAUGUUAGAAGACAAACGAGUGUCUGGUCGGAACUAACCACAAGUGUCAUCGAUUGAGACGGGACGGAAAUUCCGGAUGGCAGUCACACAAGGACAGAAGACGUCAAUGCAUGUGCAAUCGUAUCAACGUCUAUAUAUCUUUCCAAUCGUUAGUCAAACUGCUUCAGAUUUUCCAUCUUUUCGUAGACUAGCAUCUUUCUUCCGAAGAUCAAAGGUUACACACACUAAACUCAAAUUCGGCACGUGAAAGAAAUCGAUAUGAAUAAUGUUUGCGAUUAAAGGAAAAUAAACCCAAAUCCAGUCAGUUUCAUUCCUCAUAUCUAAAAAGCAGCGCUAUCUCCCAAAGGAAAUUAAGAACGUGAUUUUUGAAAAUUUAACAUCAAUCCUCUGUUGAUGCAGUUCUUAUAAACCAAUUUGUGUCCCUGUAUGUUUUAUUAUCAAAGUGUUAUCGCUCAUUCAUUUCGCAAUUUGUAUAGUGGAACACAAUCAAUGGUGGAGUCGACGAUCAGCCAAACACUUGUUAGAAUAAAUCUAACACACCAUUGUUCAGGCCUGAUCUCCAUAGCCGUCUUUUUCAUUCCAGAGAAACAUUAUCUGAACCAACUUCUGGAUAUCUCGUUAUUUAUUUUAGAACAAAAUCGAACCGCAACAGUUAAUGAUUCAAGGAACGUUGUUUUUGUUAUGUCAUAUAGGUAAAACAAAUAGGCUGUGUAUGGCAAUGAGCGGAAAAUGUACUUAACAGAUACGAGUACAUGCACUUUCGCAAGUUGACAUUGUAAACAUUUCUGUUUUGAUGAUUGCGUCUUUGUGAGAAGUAGAGCACACAUAUACAUACAUUCAGAUUCAGAUUCUUACUUGUCCAGGUUAAUUACUACGACGUGCUAGUGUUUACUUACGUUCAUAUUAAGGCAGCAACUGCAACACGUGAAGUACAGUUAAAAAGGGUGCGCCUCAUGAUUAACAGAUUACAUGGUAAGCGGCAGAGAAUAAUGGGGAAGAUAUGAAUUACUCGGGGAGAUAUGAAUUACUCGGGGACAUAUGAGUUUCUAGGGAGGAUAUGAGUUACUAGGGAGGAUCUGAGUUACUAGGGAAGCUAUGAAAUACCCGGAAAGCUAUGAAUAAUCCGGGAGGAUAUGACACAAUAGUAUGAUUUAAGUUGUUUGGGAAGAUAAACAUUAUUUAUAUCAUGAAUAACCGCAACGAUAUUAUCUAAUGUUGACUGAAUACAUUUUUUAAGAUUUUCACAUUUCCAUUCGAACCUUGAAAUAUGCGCAAUCAUAUAUCUGGCAUAUAUUCAGUUAUUAUAAAGCUGUAGUAGUUGACUUAUCUAACAAAUGAUUUCCCAACCUAUCCAAAUGUCAAACACACUUUCAUCUAUACUAACUUUGAUAUACGCUUAUGCAGUAUACAUUCGAGAAAACUCCCGUUCACAUUCAUAUUUACGAGAACUCCUCAAAGAUCUAAUUUUCAACACCUCUCAUGUUUUUACGAGUUCCUUAUAUACACACAUUAAAACCGGGUAAAUAGCAAGGCGGCUCAUAGAUCCUGAUUGAGAUUAACAGAAAUGUCAUUUCACAGCCACCAUAAAGUUUUAUUUUAGCGAUCUUAUAUAAUGGUCCUAUUUUGGUUAGCUUUUUAAUGCCACAACAGAGAGUCGGCUUAAAUGUCACCGUGUAGUAUUUUUUUAUUAUUAUUCAACCGUGGCUUUUUCUUAAUCUGCUUAAACUUGUACGGAUGACGCGUAUAUCUUCUAGUCUGUGUUACUUCUCUCCUUGUAGAACAGUUCCUUUGGUGGCAGUAAAUAGCGGAUUCUUCAGUUUUAUUGUUGUGCGGAGCUCUUCUGCAAUUUACCAGCAGUUAGAGACAUAGACAUUAUUACGCUGAAGUCAACAGAUAACGCAUGUCAAGCGUCUGGAAGACACAGACCGGAUGUUUCGAAACUGCAAACAGGUGAAAAGAUGUACAAACCACCUAUUACAAACCAAAAACGCUCCGCAAUGACAUGUUGAGUACGUCAUGUCUGAUAUUAGGUCACAGACAUUAUAUUCUGAGUAUGAACUUGUGGACUGUUUCAGAUGAUAUUAGGCGACACGUGAUAUUCUGAGUAUUGACUUAAAGACUGUGAAAGAUGAUAUAAGGACACACCCGUGUUAUUUUGGGUAUGGACUUAAUGACUGUGUAAGAUGAUAUAAGGACACACCCGUGUUAUUCUGAGUAUGGACUUACAUAUUGUAAGGACUGUUUCAGAUGAUAUUAGGCGACACGUGACAUUCUGAGUAUCGACUUAAAGACUGUGUAAGAUGAUAUAAGGACACACCCGUGUUAUUCGGAGUAUUGACUUAAAGGCUGUAAGAUGAUAUAUGGACACACCCGUGUUAUCCUGAGUAUCGACUUAAAGACUGUGUAAGAUGAUAUAAGGACACACCCGUGUUAUUCGGAGUAUUGACUUAAAGGCUGUAAGAUGAUAUAAGGACACACCCGUGUUAUCCUGAGUAUCGACUUAAAGACUGUGUAAAAUGAUAUAAGGACACAUCCGUGAUAUUCUGAGUAUUGACUUAAAUACUGUGUAAGAUGAUGUAAGGACACACCCGUGUUAUUCUGAGUAUGGACUUAAGGACGGUUACAGAUGAUAUAAGGACACACCUGUGUUAUUCGGAGUAUGGACUUAAAGACUGUGUUAAAUGAUAUAAGGACACACCCGUGUUAUUCUGAGUAUGGACUUAAGGACAGUUUCAGAUGAUAUUAGGAACACGUGAUAUUUUGAGUAUUGACUUAAUGACUGUGUAAGAUGAUAUAAGGACACACCCGUGUAAUUCUAAGGAUAUUAGGAACACGUGAUAUUCUGAGUAUUGACUUAAAGACUGUGUAAGAUGAUAUAAGGACACACUCGUGUAAUUCUAAGGAUAUUAGGAACACGUGAUAUUCUGAGUAUUGACUUAAAGACUGUAUCAGCUGAUAUUAGGACACAGACAGUAAUUAUUAUUAUAUUAAUUUGUAUCGAUGAAUAACAGUAUGGUACAUUUUAUAACAGAAAAUAAAAUCCAUUCUUCAUGUAUUAUAUAAGUAUAAUUUUUGAUGAUUUAGUCAAUGGAUAAUUGAUUCUUGGCGUUGAUUUCCGAUGGAAACGUAUUAAAACUUUUUUUUUUCUCCAGUGAAAUGUUAUAUGCCAUUAAAACACCAUGGCAUAUUUUAUUAUUAAUUUUUUUUAUCGAUUAUGAAAAAAUUAUCACCUCUACCAUCUAGGUCCCUAGGUGAUUCAGACCCCAAUUUUUCGCAAGAUUCCUGGUCACAGGACGCGUCAUUUUUAACAGAUUGAAGGGAUCGCAGAAUCAUCAAGGGCCGUAGUUAUCAAACCAUUCUCAUUAUAUAGUAUGGAUUCUGUGCUAAGGUUUCAUUUAUACAGACCCACUGGUCUUUGCCGUUAUUUUAAAUAUAUCGUUUUAAACACUUUCGGCAAAUACCAAUUACCUGGUUAUCUACAAAAUGAACCCUAUCACCUUUCCAGUUAUCAGGUUACUAUCUGUUUUCAGGAAGCAGUACUGGCAUUUCGGUCUGCAACUUUAGCCUGUCGUGCUUUCAAAAGUAAUCUUGCAGUCAUCAUCGUUACACAUUGCUGGAAAAUCCUACGACUUAAACUCAGCAUGAAGGAGGGGCAGGGGACAGGUAAUUUAUUAGGUUAAACACUUUCGUAAACUAUUCGGAUGUCAAGGGUUUGAGUCUGGGUUUGGCAGUUGCAAAGCCAAUGCCUGCUUCAUGGUACAGACACCAUAAAGCAUCUGUUUAAAAUAUAUGGCUUUACUUCCGGUUUAUACAAUAUGCAGAAGAAGAUAAAAUUCUAAACACAAAAACAGAUGUGCUGCAGAUAUGUUAGCCACUAGAAUGACUAAGCACUGUUACGAAAUGUUUCACUCCAUUACAACAGUUGAAAAUAUGUGUACUUUCCAAGGAAAAGACAGUCAGCGUAACAAAUAGCAAAAUAUCAAUCUUACCGUAGCUUUAUGUGCAAUAGCCACUGGACCUGCAAAAUCAAUACCCUGUGAAGUUUGUCAUAUUAGCUAAAAUAAGGGACCACAAAAAACAAAGAAACAGUAGUUUGGGUACCGAAAGCUAAAUUACAUGUUUGGACCCCCUCCUCCCGAGUUUAUCAACAAUGUUUAAUUUGUUUACAUAAAUAUACAUGUAAACUGUUUUAGUUUUUAUAAAGUGUUAUAAUCAAAACUAUCAACAUUUUGUUAAUAACGUAUGUGCUAUAUAACAAAAAGAUACUUUGUAGUAAUCGGAAGGCUCCAUUUUUUAAGGACAGGGCAUGGUUAUACCGGAUUGUAAUAUAUAUAUAUGUAUAUGUGUGUGUAGUCAAGGAUGUCUUUAUCCAUACGCAGAGUGCAGUGAGAGGUUCGGACACAGUUUUAUACAUGUAAUCCUACUAAAAGAUAUCGCUGAACAACAUCACAGUAAAUUUGUCGGAACAAUCAUCAAUCGUUUGAAUACACCAGUGGAUUAACUAUGUAUUGUGCCAGUCUUGUCAAGGUUAUGAUCGCAAAGUAUAAGUGGCGAUAUUUCCUUGUGUAACCCAUGAUGCUUGUAUAACAGCACGGGAAGACAAAGAUAAACACCUCACACGCUUUGUAUGUGUUAUCUGAUAACACGUAUACGAUCAUUUGACUAUGUGCCACCCUAGUGUUAAACAUCAUAUGCUUUUUAAUACUGUUACAUCAUAAACAGCUAUAUAUAGAUAUCGAACUGAUCGAACCAGACAGUCGAGGGACAUAUACGCAUUGAUGGUCAGAGAGGUCUACCAAAUAUCAAAGUGUUAUGGACAAGAUCCACUAAUGUCGGGCCCGUGGAAACCUCUGUCUGAUGAUAUGGGAAAAAUUCACCGAACCGCCUUGUUCAGCUGCUAACGUACAAAGUGUUGUCAUCGUAAUUGUGAUCGACUUGUUUAUACCCCAAUAACAGGAAUCACAGUUCACAGAAACCGGAUGUCACAGCCUCUUAUUGCAACUGUUCCUGUUCAUAGACACAUGCUUGUGAAGGAGUAUAACGAGAACUGUAAACCGUCCCAUUCCUACACACAAUGUUUCCCUAGUGAGGUGUAUUUUGUUUAGAAAACUUCGUUUCACAACUAAUUACUAUGAUAUAAAUCAAAUAACGUACGGUGUAUUACAAUAAGUAAUUGUUCCUCUCCCUUUGGUUGGGUAUUUCCGUGAUAUAUACGUUACCAAUGAUCUGUGUGAUAAUUUCCCUAAAUUCUAUAUCGAAAUAAACGAAGCUAUUGUAGGAAAUUGCACGUUUAAAUGUUCUGGCCAGAUUUUUGUUUUUUUUAUUUUUGCCAGAAAAUGGCUUAAAGUUCCGAUUCUUUGCUAAUUACUAUUUGUAAGCCGUAAAUUAGCUGAUUGGCUGUGUUCACUAAUUGUUCACGCGCAAAUCUUAGCCGUCGGGGAUACAAACCAAAUAGGUGAACAUUAUCUCAGGCAAUUUGGCCAGUCAUGAUCUGAAAGAGAUAUGUGCAAGUGUUCUGUCCCUAUGGGAUAAGAUACCAAAAGAUGUGUUUAAAAUGGUGCACAUUCAAAUUAAGAUGAAAUAAUAACAGAUUGUUUUGUCACAUAAUAACGAGGACAUGGACAUUCGAAACAUCUAGAUAACCCACAGGAGAAUUAGGUCAUUAAUUAGUUGAAAAUGUUAACGACAUUUUAACGCACUAUUGCAAUUGCUAAUGAGGCUAUUAAAGGACCCGAUGUGACGCAUGAUAAGUUAGUUGUACACGAAUGACCACGAGCUACAACGUAUAUCACCUCAAGAUGAAACGUAAAACAUUGAAGUUUCAACAAUGUAUUGUGAAAUCACUCAUUUUCAUGGGGUUUUUAAUUUUGUUGAUUUCGUGGGUAGUUUUCUGCCACGAAUUCGUAGGUUCAGGAGUAAUUACAAGUUUGACAUAAAGCUGUUUGAGUGGGUACUCAAGAACUCACAAAAUUUGCGCCCACGAAAAUAUCUGGUUUCACAGUAUCCUAUGUCUAUGCAGUAUGCUCAUCAAUAAAGGCAACUUAUCACUUGUACCUUUAUCUAGUCAGUAUGACAUUUGUUAUUAUUUUGUGAGUGAGUGUUAGGUUUUUUAUACAGGAACAUAUUUUAACAGUUUAAUAAGAGGUUGUACAUAUUGUCAUCUAACCAUCUUCUGAGUCUGCAGAUACGUAAAAUCUAAAUUAACAGAAUGAAAUUUUCAUUAUUAUUAACACAGACGUGAAUAGUCGCUGGUGAUUGAGUACAGCAAAUAAUAAAGAGUAAAACUUUAAGAUAGUA